CGUCCCAUUCGCCUCCCCCUCAACCGCCUCCUCUCUCCCCGCUCGUCCCCUCCUCUCCCCCACGCCGCCCCUCCUCUUCCCGCUCGUCUCCUCCUCUCCUCUUCCCUCGACGUCGUCCCUGCUUCCCUCUCUGACCCGGGCCAGAGCCUCGCCGGCCGCUCCCCCCCAGCCGGUGUCCCUCUCCAGAUGCAUCCUCCACGAGAUCCGGGUACGGAGAGAGUCAUGGUGGUAGGGGCAGAUGCGUGAGGAGGAGAAGGCCGUGGUCAUGGUGGCGCGACGGAGGUCGUGCCUCGCCCCCGCCGCUUCUCUCGCGCCCCCCUUUUCCCUGCCCCCUCCCCGGCGUCCUUGCCUCUGCCAUGGCCUCCACCCUCCCUCUCCAUCGACCUUCCUGAGCUCUCCAUCUUCAGGGUCGCCACCAUCCGAUGCCGCACGCCAUGAUUCCAGAUCGGCUGCAGGUUGAGGAGCGGUUGCUGCAGUGAGGGCAGCAGGGUCCCCACCCCGGUGGCUGCGUGCAGAGGGGGAGUGGUCAAGGACGGUUGCCAGUUCAUGGAGGAGAGAUGCAACACAGCCGUGAGCUCUUUCUUCCUCCUUUCCUCAUCUUCCCAUGGUGAACUGAGCUCAUACUUCCUUUUUUUUCUUCUAAUUGUGCACAUAGUGUUUGGGUUGCAGUUGAUUCCUACACUCAGUUUCAGUGGUGGCAUGGUGUCCAUCUCCAGGCCGGUUGCAACCUUCUGCCCCCAUCAUUCCCUGUAUUUUUUUCAUAAUUUACACACUAAGUUGUAGAUUGGUCGGAUCUAUUGGCAUUAGGCAGCACAAGAAUAACAAUAUUUGUCUGCUUUUUCAUGUGCAGGUUCAGCAGCGGCAAUGCUCAAGAUAGAGUUAGGCCGGUCUGAAUAAACAGAGAUGAGCAGCAGCAGGGUUGGGUGCCCCAUUUGUACGCAUUGCAUUGGUUAAUUUUGUUGUGCUCAUGUUUCCGUUUCAUGCCUCAAGCUCAAGACGCGCGAGGUGAUGGUUUGGUUGGGAUGGUGCUGCUGCUCCGCAAGUACGAGCUUCUGCACUGUGUUUUGCUCUCUCAACUUGCCUCCCCUUGAAUGAAUGGACGCAGAAUAAUGUGUUGACAAGCUACAUGAGGUUGGGCUUUGCGAUUGCACCCUGUUUGUGUGCUGGCAGGAAGGAAGAACUAAGAAAAAGUGUGUUGUUUCGCUGGAUUCUUCUUCCUUUGAUUUCACCAAACUUUGUGGCAGUGGUUGGCUUCUCGACUCCGACACUCUGUAUGGACUAGCCCGGUCUUUGCCCAGAAGUUCUAGAAGGUACAAUGCUGAAAAUUCAGUAGAACAUGGUGCUCCUAUAAAUACUGAUAAUCCGGAACCUGGCAACCAUUGGCUUUUGAAGUUUGGCAGUUUGUUAAAGAGCAAAUUGAUCCAAGUGAAUUGAUCCAAGUAAAGAGCAAAACUGAAGUACCAAUGUACCUCUUAUAAAUUUGGUCACUAUUGUGCUCUCUGACAGGAAUGCAAGUUUUGUGAUAAAGGGUCCACAGCCAAAGCACCACUCGAGUUUCAUAUGCAGUACAAAGACGAGGCUAGAAAUUGAUCUUAAGUCUGAAGGAACGUCACUUUUGAAAGAAGAACAAGGAUUAGCAAGAGGCUGCUAAGGAGGCUGCAACACCUCGUGCCCAACAUGGACAAGCAAACAAAUACUUCAGACAUGCUGCGUAUUGCUGUAGACUACAUCAAAGUGGGUGCUGCAGGACCAAAUUGAGGUUGUUGAUCUGGAGAUGACUGGCUCAACUGAGACUGUACCACUUCACCGCCUUGACGAAUCGAAGGAUUACUUAGUAAUUUUUCUGGUGACACCAAUCAGGCCAGAUUGUAAGCCCUUCCCUGCAGUUUGUUUGAUCAGGUUACCCCAUUGUUCAAAGUGGAUAUGCAUGGUGCUUGUGGAUUCAUGCUAUUUGGACCGAAUUUGGCUUUUUGACCUGGUUAGGCAUUUUCUUAUUCAUGCUAUUUGGACCUAAUUUGCAGAACGUUAAAGUCACCAGCUAGGAUUUUGACCUGGUUAUCUGGUUUUGGCUUAUAGCACAACAUGGCGGUAGUGUAGAAAAGAUCUAAACAGAUUCUGAAUUAACCCAACUAGACAUGGAAACCAAGAACGACCUAUCGGCUGGGUCCAGUUCCUCAUCUUUGUCUCCGAGCAAAAUGAUCAUCUGGAAGCGGAUGCUACCAAGAUCAUGCCAAAGGCAGAGCAUGCCAAAGGCGAUGCUCAUUCCCGUUCUUAGUGAGAUGGGUUUAUUCGAUGCAAAGUAUGAGCAUUGCAGACUCUGGCGAGCUGUUGAAGGUCGAUGAGGAGGACGCCGCCACCACCGUCAUCAGGCUGGUCCACAUCCACGCGCUGCUCGGCGUCGCCAGGUCACCGGCACAACUCCUCACGCCCAGGUCAUUCAACAUUUUCUUUCGCUUUUGGUGUGUUGCAUUUAGAGUCUUUCUUUCCCAUUUUACCGUGUUUGCAUGGUAAGAUGUUUGGUUGGAUUUGAAGGUUCAUAGCCUUGGCUCCAAAGCUUCAAGCUCUUAUAGAAAUUAGAACUGAGGGCCUUUUAAAAUGAGUCCUGCAUAAUAGUGUUGUUCAGUGGGAUGCAGAUUGUUUGGUAGUCUGAUCGGCUAUCCUUGGUGCUGAUUUAUGUACUGAUUUCAUCAUCAUAUGACUACAAUAAAGAAGUUAUGUGUAUACAUAUUACGAACUGCUGAUACUUUGCAUCAGUGAUUUCAAUUC